GUAUGGAUGGGUCUAAGCCAAGCCCAAAAAGAUGUAACAACUUUAGGAAACCAAACGGUUAUUGUGCAAAUGGAAAUGGAUCCAUGACUCCCAUGUCAUACCGGAACUCAGUUGCUGGAU